UACGUAGGGUGCAAGCGUUGUCCGGAAUUAUUGGGCGUAAAGAGCUCGUAGGCGGCUAGUCACGUCGGAUGUGAAAACCCGAGGCUCAACCUCGGGCCUGCAUUCGAUACGGGCUGGCUAGAGUACUGCAGGGGAGACUGGAAUUCCUGGUGUAGCGGUGAAAUGCGCAGAUAUCAGGAGGAACACCGGUGGCGAAGGCGGGUCUCUGGGCAGUAACUGACGCUGAGGAGCGAAAGCGUGGGGAGCGAACAGG
rnacentral:rRNA from 1 species